rnacentral:rRNA from 1 species
UGCAGUCGAGCGAACAGACGAGGAGCUUGCUCCUCUGACGUUAGCGGCGGACGGGUGAGUAACACGUGGAUAACCUACCUAUAAGACUGGGAUAACUUCGGGAAACCGGAGCUAAUACCGGAUAAUAUAUUGAACCGCAUGGUUCAAUAGUGAAAGACGGUUUUGCUGUCACUUAUAGAUGGAUCCGCGCCGCAUUAGCUAGUUGGUAAGGUAACGGCUUACCAAGGCAACGAUGCGUAGCCGACCUGAGAGGGUGAUCGGCCACACUGGAACUGAGACACGGUCCAGACUCCUACGGGAGGCAGCAGUAGGGAAUCUUCCGCAAUGGGCGAAAGCCUGACGGAGCAACGCCGCGUGAGUGAUGAAGGUCUUCGGAUCGUAAAACUCUGUUAUUAGGGAAGAACAAAUGUGUAAGUAACUAUGCACGUCUUGACGGUACCUAAUCAGAAAGCCACGGCUAACUACGUGCCAGCAGCCGCGGUAAUACGUAGGUGGCAAGCGUUAUCCGGAAUUAUUGGGCGUAAAGCGCGCGUAGGCGGUUUUUUAAGUCUGAUGUGAAAGCCCACGGCUCAACCGUGGAGGGUCAUUGGAAACUGGAAAACUUGAGUGCAGAAGAGGAAAGUGGAAUUCCAUGUGUAGCGGUGAAAUGCGCAGAGAUAUGGAGGAACACCAGUGGCGAAGGCGACUUUCUGGUCUGUAACUGACGCUGAUGUGCGAAAGCGUGGGGAUCAAACAGGAUUAGAUACCCUGGUAGUCCACGCCGUAAACGAUGAGUGCUAAGUGUUANGGGGGUUUCCGCCCCUUAGUGCUGCAGCUAACGCAUUAAGCACUCCGCCUGGGGAGUACGACCGCAAGGUUGAAACUCAAAGGAAUUGACGGGGACCCGCACAAGCGGUGGAGCAUGUGGUUUAAUUCGAAGCAACGCGAAGAACCUUACCAAAUCUUGACAUCCUCUGACCCCUCUAGAGAUAGAGUUUUCCCCUUCGGGGGACAGAGUGACAGGUGGUGCAUGGUUGUCGUCAGCUCGUGUCGUGAGAUGUUGGGUUAAGUCCCGCAACGAGCGCAACCCUUAAGCUUAGUUGCCAUCAUUAAGUUGGGCACUCUAAGUUGACUGCCGGUGACAAACCGGAGGAAGGUGGGGAUGACGUCAAAUCAUCAUGCCCCUUAUGAUUUGGGCUACACACGUGCUACAAUGGACAAUACAAAGGGCAGCGAAACCGCGAGGUCAAGCAAAUCCCAUAAAGUUGUUCUCAGUUCGGAUUGUAGUCUGCAACUCGACUAUAUGAAGCNGGAAUCGCUAGUAAUCGUAGAUCAGC